rnacentral:rRNA from 1 species
UAGGGAAUCUUCCACAAUGGGCGAAAGCCUGAUGGAGCAACGCCGCGUGUGUGAUGAAGGGUUUCGGCUCGUAAAACACUGUUGUAAGAGAAGAAUGACAUUGAGAGUAACUGUUCAAUGUGUGACGGUAUCUUACCAGAAAGCCACGGCUAACUACGUGCUAG